rnacentral:rRNA from 1 species
UACGAAGGGGGCUAGCGUUGUUCGGAUUUACUGGGCGUAAAGGGCACGCAGGCGGCCAAACAAGUCAGAGGUGAAAUCCCAGGGCUCAACCCUGGAACUGCCUUUGAAACUGUUUGGCUAGAGACCGAGAGAGGUGAGUGGAAUUCCUAGUGUAGAGGUGAAAUUCGUAGAUAUUAGGAGGAACACCAGUGGCGAAGGCGGCUCACUGGCUCGGUACUGACGCUCAUGUGCGAAAGCGUGGGGAGCAAACAGG